rnacentral:rRNA from 1 species
CGCGAACGGGUGAGUAACACGUGGGUAACCUACCUCGAUCACCGGGACAACCCGAGGAAACUCGGGCUAAUACCGGAUGUGCUCGUUGAACAUCAGUUCUUCGAGGAAAGAUAGCUUCGGCCUUCGGAUCGAGAUGGGCCCGCGGCGCAUUAGCUUGUUGGUGGGGUAACGGCCUACCAAGGCUUCGAUGCGUAGCUGGUCUGAGAGGACGAUCAGCCACACUGGGACUGAGACACGGCCCAGACUCCUACGGGAGGCAGCAGUGGGGAAUCUUGCGCAAUGCGCGAAAGCGUGACGCAGCAACGCCGCGUGGGGGAAGAAGGCCUUCGGGUUGUAAACCCCUUUCAGUUGGGACGAAGCCUCGACGGUUAACAGCCGGCUGGAGUGACGGUACCUUCAGAAGAAGCCCCGGCUAACUACGUGCCAGCAGCCGCGG